ensembl:lncRNA
CACUGUUGAUUCAACAAAUGUACAAUACGCGCCAGGCACUGCCCUCGAAGAUCACGGAAGUGACAGUUGCAUAGAUGCAUAAUUGCAAUCACAUUGCAACAAAUACCAUGCUUAUAUGUUCCAAGUCACAGCAGCAGCCUAGAAGAAGCAGCUACUCUUUUCAGUUGGAUCCUAGAAAAGGUGACACUGGUGCUGAGUCUCGAAGGAGUGGUGAGGAUGUCUCUGUGCAUUAGUGCUGCCGUGAGUGGACCGGGCACUCCAGGAGAAUCCCCAGCAAGCUGCAUUCCUGACUGGAGAUGUCAAGGGGACCUCAUGUGAACUGCCAGCCACCGAUUCGCUUAUGAGGUUGGAGGAAAUAGCUGGGAGGCUGCCCUCACCUUCCAGCCUGGAACUGGGCUGAGGGAAGUUCCAUUGCUCGCUCACAGGCCACCCGCCUGGCUCUGGGAUGGCUUUGGCAAACUUUGCUCCUGGCAGGCUGGACCCACAGGAACCCUGUCAUUUCUGAGCUUGUGUCAGAGCGUGUGGCGGAAAAAGGCUCUGUGGCCACAGGGCAAGCCAAGGCCAAUGAGAUGGCCCUGCAUGAUGAAGGGAAAGGGACCCAGUCCACAGUGGACCUCAGGGGCUUGGGAGUCAGAAUUUCUGGGCCCUGAAAUUAUCCUUUUCAGGCAUUGGGAGGUGUCAAUUCUGAGGAUCACGAGAGGGACUGUGGGGUCAAUGGUGACCUCCAAACCCAACCACAAGAAUUUGGCUCAGUGACACGAGUUGAACUGACAAUCCAGCUCAGCACCACCUCCUCCAGGAAGGCCUCUCUGGUUCACCCCACUAGCUUCUCUACUGGGGGCUGCUGCUGAGACUCCUAGUCUAAGAAAGGACAAUUCUCUGCUAAACUCUUCCCACUGCUAAAUUCUUCCUGCAAGCUUUUAUUGAAGUUUAGGGCAACAGAAGCACAAGCCAGAGAGAGCUUUAUGACAAUGGCUUGAGCUUAGAGUCCGCACCUCCCUGGCAGAACUCCAGGUAACAUGGGACCAUGGCACUCCUGUUCCCAAAGUGGUGCCAGCGACCAUGAACCUCCUCCAGAAUGGCACUUCCCAGGCAUCUUCUCCCAUCACAGUACCGUCCACAGUACUGCCCUUUGGUCCCUGAGGGGAGAGCAAAGUUUCCUGCUGCUUGGACGAAGACCCUGGCCUUUUCCUGCCCAAAACGAUUGGCAAUGGGAGUAUCGAUUGCCUGUAGGAGAAAGCCCAUUGAUCAACUGACCCAUCGAUCCAUUGCGCAAUUGACCUAUUGCUCACAAGAGAAACCCCAUCCCACCCACUGCGGUCUUGUCCCCCUACCUCCUAGAAGACACAGCCUGGGCUUCCAAAGCCCGCGUUUGUCUGUCUUAAAUUAUCCCCCAUGGAGGCCUCACCAUCGUGGCCCUGGCCAGGUGCUGGUGGGGGUUUCCGUCUAGCGUUAGGGGCAGAGAAAAUCAGACUCUCUGCCCUCCAGCCACAGCUGCCUCCCAAUUGCCUGUGACCAAACGUAGGACAAGGGAUACGCAGGUCCCAAAACAAGCAACCAUUUUCAGUUGUGAGCUCCAUAAAUAUGGACUGAGGAAGAAAAGUGUUCUCUAACUCAGCAAGGAUACCGUGCUGGGAGCAUGACAUUACUACCACAUAGGUUAUCAUUGCAUAAUAAAUAGGACGUACUUCUCAGUCUGUGCUUCAGUGACAUCAUGCUGUUGGGGCCUCCCAGGGGUGGUGAGCACUCUCAUGAGGACUAAGAGGUCCCCCAAGUCCUCCUUCUCAGUAGGAAUGGAGAAUGUGCCCCACCAACAAAAUGUUUCCUCUAGCCUACAACUUCCUACGCCCUGGCAGGUGUCCCAGCUUCAGUAAUUUAACAGCCACCAGUACUUGUUACAAACAUGUAACAAAUAUGCACUCUGCCCCAGGACAAAGCUGGGCGCUUUGCAUAAAGGUAUUAUUUGAUUCUCACAGCAAUCCUGGGAAGUAGCUCCUAUUAGAGGAGGAAACUGAGGUUCAGAGAGGUUAAGUGUAUUGUCCAAAGUCCCACAGUGAGCGGCUGAGGCAGGACUCAAACCCUUGUCAGAAUCCGUGCCCAUUCUCUCAGCCAUCAGGCGGUACAACCUCCAAAAUGGGGCGACAUCACCACAUGCAGGAGAACUAAGAAUGAGAAACUGUCUCCAACUAUACGCCGAGUCCUACCAGAUGCUGAGCUGGAAGGGAGGGGAAUAAAAGAUGGGUCCGUAAUGGUCCUUACCUUCAAGAAGCCCACAUUCCAAUUAGGAGGCAAGAUGGAUUCAAACCCCACAAUGUGCCACAAUGAGAUGAUAAGCUGUGUAGUCCUGAUUAUCAGAAAAGGGAUAAAUCGUAAAUUAAAAGACUCAGGGAAGAAUCAGGGAGGGCUGCGUGAAGGAGGUGCAACUUAAAGUGGACUGUGUGGGGUUGAGAGUGGGAGGAAGAAGAAAGAAGAGUAUUCUAGACAGGAAGAGCAUCAAGAACAAAACCCUUGAGAGGAGAAUGAGCUUGGUAUUUUUAUGAGUCAGGGAGUCAGUCCGCCAACCAGUCUAGGGGUGCGGAGAGAGAACGUGCAGGAAGGAAGUUAGCCUAUGCAGGGCACUGUCUGGCAAAAGGUUGAUUUGGAUAUGGGAGCACUGGGGAGCCAUUGUGGGUUCUGGAGUGAGUGCUCAUGUGAUAAAAGGAGUGAGUAAGUAAGAUGGGGAUCCCUGCUCCCCAGCUUCUUGAAUUAUGAUCGUAGUUGAGAGGUAACCCCUCCGGCUACAGAUUGGAGACUGCCCCAGAGAGCGCUCAGGGUGCCUUAAAUCUGGGGGCCCCUGAGGCCUUACACGGGUCUUUCUCAGCAGGGCUCCAGAACCUGUGAGAGCUGUCUGCAAGUGAGAGGGGUCAGGCUGAGAAGAGGCAUUCGGGGAAUGGGGUGGUUCAGUUAUGCAUACCUGCUCCCUAGAUGGAGAGGUGAGGAGGAGAGAGCGCUGACAUGUGCAUAUUAAUAUAGAGAUAUUGUAUAUAUAUGUGUGUGUGUGUGUAUGCUCACAUAUACAUCUCCCAGGGGACAACACUUCAGCUAAGCCAGCAAGCAGUGGAAACUGUGCAUAAGCUACCUGAAGCACUUUGAUGUGCCUCUAAACUAUUUUGGCAUCAAAGCCUGAUGGACCAUAUGGAAAGAAAAAAGUGCCAAAAAAGAGAGGCUUAUACUGAAAGAAACCAGGAGCCUGGCCUGAUGGGCCCGACGUGGACCAGAGAUGAGCCGGACUUUCUGUAGAGAAAGUGGGACGUCCCAGGGAAGCAGCUUCACUGGGUUGCAACAACGUUAUGUGCCUAAUGAGUCGUCCUAAAAAUUACAGGCUGAGGUGGUCAAGACCCUUGGCUUAAGUGACGGGAAUCCAAAUCCAAAUUCAAAGCAGUUCAAGCAAAAGGGAAAUACGCUGGCUCAAGUAUUAGAGUCAUUUGGUUUCAGGCACAGCUGAAUCCAGGGUACUCUUGCGAUAUAAGCAGGACUCUCUCUGGUCAGCUCUCAGCUUUGCUUUCGCCUGUGUGGCCUCAUUUUCUGGCACUAUUUUUCCGUGUUGUAGCAAAAGGGAUGCCCGCCAGCUCCAGCCAAGGUCCUUCGGAAGGAGGGAGAUUCUGCCUCUUCCAUGGCUCGUUUUGGUCUUCUGCCCAUCCCUGGACCGAUCACUGUGUCCUGUGAAUGGCACACUCUGGUUGGCCAGCCCAAGUUUCAUGACCAUUCAUGUGGUGGGGGAGGCCUGGACCUUGAUUGACAGCUCAUCAGAAUCCCAAAGUGCUGGGAAGAAAGAAAGUCCCCAAAAGGGAAAGUGCGGGGCAGAAAAAAAGAAUCAGAUAUUCAUGACAGUGCAAUGGAAGUUGCGAGUCCAGAGACAGUGGUCCUGAAAGCACGAGCGUUGGAAGAAGACAGUGAGGUGUCAGGCAGAGGGAAGGCUUGGGCAAAGACAUUAGAGGGAGUCCUGUUCCAAAAAGAUUUCCACCAAUCUGGCUAUAUUCAAACGUUAAUUUUUCUCUCUUUUUCCUUUUUUAUGCUGAUAAGUAAAUGAAAAGGAAUAGGAUAUAUUGGAGGAUAUGAGGAAGCCAUUUGGUGUAAAACUAAUUCAGCCUGACCUUGUUAUUCCAAGAGGGCCCAAAAGCGCCUGUUGAGCUUGCACUGUACAUCUGCUUUAAACAUUUACUAUGUCCCAAAGACAAGAAUGAUGCCCUUAAAGGUAAGGAUGUAGCUUCCCCCAAUAUCGGCAUUUCUUUGGGGAUAAGCAUCUCUCUCCGGAAACUAAGGAUUAAUUACCAAUCUUCUGUGCUCACCUUGUGACCACUGACCUGCUGACCUCUGACCUGCUGUGCCAGCUAAGCAUCUCCUGACAGUAGUAAAAAAGAUAGUCCUGUCAUAUGUGAUGUACGCUCUGCAUUCCAAGACAGUAUCCACUCUGUACACCCCACUUCUUUGGUGCCCUUCUUUCCUUCCGGAAGGCUCCAGGCUCCAGUCCUCAAACUUGGCUCAUAAUGAACUCACCCCAGUUUUGAUUUAUAGAUUGACUAUGGAUUAUUUGUGUCAACAGUGCCUACUAUUGAUGCUGAAGAGAGCAGGAUUGGGGCGCAUUUAAAAGGCUGGAUUGCUUAUUUCUCUUAGGCAAUAAAAUGAAAGAGAAUCAGUUCUUCCUCUCCCCCAUAAAUUGCUGGGCAGAAUGAAAGGCUGUCCUCAUUUCCCAGAAGCAGAGGGCCCUAUGCUCCCAGAAACCACUAGCCUUAGCAGAGGCAGCCAAGCUCAAUGGGAGCAGAUUUCUGAGCACUGCCCCCCAGGGGUCCAGCAGCAGUACCCUGGACGAUGGUCACAUUGGUCCCCCAAGCAGUCACAUCAAUCUCAGUCACAGCUACUUCUCUCAUUCCCUACUCACUUGGCGGGGGCCUGGUGAAGAGCUUCUGUCCCAAGCUGUGGGGUCCCAGGUGGUCUUGGGAAGAGGAGAGGAUGCUCCAGGCUGGCUGGACCUGGGUUGCACGCACGCACUCAUUCGUUGAUCGUUGGUUGAGCUCUAUCACGUGUAAGGCACGGCACUAAGCCCAGGAGCUGUAGGGACAAUUAGACAUCGCCUUUGCCCUUAACGAGCUCACUCUGUGCCAGGGGAGCAGACAUGUGUGCUAGAUAAAAAAUGCUUUUGCUGCUGAACCUCCCCACCCAUUUUGAGAGAAUCGUUCCUUCUUGCCUCAAGCCUGUGUGAUACUGUAGACUUAAUUACAGACCUCCUCUCUCCCCACUGCCAUCGUUGGCUCAGGCAUGGCACACGAAGCAACCUGAUACAAAAGCUUUAUUGGGAUUUUUCCAACUGGAGCCUGCAGGCGCCAUAUUCUUUUCUCCUUGUUUUUCAUGAUGAUCGGAGAAUGUGACCCAUGGUGCUAUGAAUGGGAUUUUUUUUCCAGUUAAAAUUUUGAGUUGGUUAUUGGUAUAUAUAAAAACAAUCAUUUUAUUAAAUGUUGCCUGCAUCUUGCAACCUUGUUAAACUUAUUUAUUCAUUCUAAUGAUUUGACAGUAGAUUUUCUUGGGGUUUUUCUUGGCAUUUCUGUACAGAUGGUUGCUCUACCUGCGGAUGAGGAGUUUCGUCUCUUCUCUUCCAGUUAUUUUAUUGCUUAUUUAUUUUCCUGGUCAUUUCUUUGGCUAGGAGGCCCAGUAAACAUUGAAGAGUUAGUUGGUUGGGAGUGGGCAUCCUUGUCUUAUUUCUGAUAUUAAUGCAAAUGCUUCUAAAGUUUCACAAUUAAUACUAUGCAAUCAUUAAAAAAAACGAAAAUCUUCAACAUGUAUUAUUAAUUGAAAUUUGUAUAUAUUCCUUAUAACUGUUUUAUACCAGUGGUAGCAUACUAAUACACACUGUUCUGCACCUUCCUAAGCCUAUGUGUAUAUGCUUGUAUAUGUUUUGAAUAUCUAUGGAAAGAUCUGGAAAAAACUGGGAACAUUGGCAGCUUGCAGGGGAGGCAACUGAGUAGCUAAUGAGACGUUCAGCUCUAAGUACCACUUUAGCUGUAUACUGAAGUUUUGAUAUGUAGUGUUCUUAAUGUUCUUCAGUUCAAAAUAUUUUCUGUUCUAUUAUGAUUUCAUUUCUCUUGUUUAGAGUGUUCUGUUUGUUGUUUUUUUUUUCAUAAGGAAGAUUGGCAACAAUCUUUUUGCUUGAGGAAGAUUGCCACUGAGCUAACAUCUGUGCCAUACUUUUCUCUGUUUUAUGUGGGACGCUGCCACAGCUGCCUUGACAAGCAGUGCUAGGUCUGUGCCUGGGAUGCGAACCUGUGAACCGUGAGCCACUGAAGUGGAGCACGUGAACUUAACCACUAUGCCAUCGGGCCAGCCCCUAAAGUGUAUUUUUCAGUUUCCAAACUUUUGGACAUUUGACAUUCAGUUUAAUUGCAUUGUGGACAGGGGACGUGGACCUUAUUAUUUUAAUCAUUUGAAAAUAUUGUGACCUAAUACACGAUCACUUUCUAAGUGUUCCACAUAUACUUGAAAAUAAUGUUUUCUUUAUUUAACAGAUACAGCAUUCUAUAUAUCUUUACCUUUCAUAGUUAAGUGUACCAACACGGAGGAUCAAUUCAUCAUUGUUUCUUGACCCCCAUGCCUUCCCUCCUAGUUAAUUUUUCUUCUUGUUGAAGUAUAUACAUGAAUAACUAUUUUAAUGAAUGUCUAUGAGUAAUACAUGUUUUUAAUCUUUGUAUUCCAAAGCAUUUCUUAAUUUAUCUGGGGCUAAAAUUAGAGGUUGUUAUUUAUUUUCCCUCAUUACCUUGAACAUAUUUCUCUACAGCGAGAAGCUGUAUAAACAGUGGUCAUAAACGUCUGGAACUAGAUCACUUAGUUUGAGUACCAGUGCCUCCUCUUAUUAAUUGUAAGAACUUGGGCAAGAACUACUGAACUUCUCUGUGCCUCGGUUUCCUCAGCUGUAAGGGGACGAUACGAAUCCUAUCUUACAGAAUUCUUGUUGGGACUCAGUUAGUUCAGACACAUAAAAUACUUGGUGUGGAGUCCAGCACGUGGUACCACUCAAGUUGUAAUUGCCAUCUCUGACCUCUUCUGUUGCUGAUGAGAAAAUUACUCAGUCCUUUCCAGGCAAUCAUAUUCUUCUCCCUGAAAAUCUCUUUAAUAUUUUCUUUCUAUCUGGGUUGUUCUUCAGCUUCUCUCAGGAUGUACUUUCAAUCUGGAGGGCUCAGUCUUUCUACCAUUCUGGAAAAUUCUGAGUCGUUAUUCCUAUAUUAGUUUUUCUCUACUAUCUCUCUGCAACUUCUAUAUUCUGUCUGUUGUAGCCUCUCAAACUAUCCUCCAUAUUUCUUAAUUGUUCUGACAUACUUUUAAACUUUUGUCUCCCUUUGUCAUGUUUUGAGUAAACUCCCUGGUGUUAUCUUUCAACUCACUUCUUUUCAUGACUGCACCAAGUUUAGAUUUUAGCCAGCAUAUUAGAUUUUUUAUUUUAGGACUGCAUUUUAUAUUUCCAAGAUUACUAAUUGGUUCUUUUUCAUAUCCAUCUUUUUUUUUAAAAAAAAG